ACGCACGCUGGCGGCGUGCUUAACACAUGCAAGUCGAACGCUGAAGCUUGGUGCUUGCACUGGGUGGAUGAGUGGCGAACGGGUGAGUAAUACGUGAGUAACCUGCCCUUGACUCUGGGAUAAGCCUGGGAAACUGGGUCUAAUACUGGAUACGACAUGCCACUGCAUGGUGGUGUGUGGAAAGGGUUUUACUGGUUUUGGAUGGGCUCACGGCCUAUCAGCUUGUUGGUGGGGUAAUGGCCUACCAAGGCGACGACGGGUAGCCGGCCUGAGAGGGUGACCGGCCACACUGGGACUGAGACACGGCCCAGACUCCUACGGGAGGCAGCAGUGGGGAAUAUUGCACAAUGGGCGGAAGCCUGAUGCAGCGACGCCGCGUGAGGGAUGACGGCCUUCGGGUUGUAAACCUCUUUCAGCACGGAAGAAGCGAGAGUGACGGUACGUGCAGAAGAAGCGCCGGCUAACUACGUG
rnacentral:rRNA from 1 species